AGUGAACGCUGGCGGUAGGCCUAACACAUGCAAGUCGAACGGCAGCACAGUAAGAGCUUGCUCUUACGGGUGGCGAGUGGCGGACGGGUGAGGAAUACAUCGGAAUCUACUUUUUCGUGGGGGAUAACGUAGGGAAACUUACGCUAAUACCGCAUACGACCUACGGGUGAAAGCAGGGGAUCUUCGGACCUUGCGCGAUUGAAUGAGCCGCUGUCGGAUUAGCUAGUUGGCGGGGUAAAGGCCCACCAAGGCGACGAUCCGUAGCUGGUCUGCGAGGAUGAUCAGCCACACUGGAACUGGGACACGGUCCAGACUCCUACGGGAGGCAGCAGUGGGGAAUAUUGGACAAUGGGCGCAAGCCUGAUCCAGCCAUACCGCGUGGGUGAAGGAGGCCUUCGGGUUGUAAAGCCCUUUUGUUGGGAAAGAAAAGCAGCAGGUUAAUACCCCGCUGUUCUGACGGUACCCAAAGAAUAAGCACCGGCUAACUUCGUG
rnacentral:rRNA from 1 species